rnacentral:rRNA from 1 species
UACGAGAGGCCCAAACAUUAUUCGGAAUUACUGGGCUUAAAGAGUUCGUAGGCGGCGUGGAAAGUAGGGUGUGAAAGCCCUCGGCUCAACCGAGGAAUUGCGCUCUAAGCUGCCGUGCUAGAGGAAACUAGAGGUGAGCGGAACUGAUGGUGGAGCGGUGAAAUGCGUUGAUAUCAUCAGGAACACCGGAGGCGAAGGCGGCUCACUGGCCCGGUACUGACGCUGAGGUGCGAAAGCGUGGGGAGCAAACAGG